ACCCCGGUAGCUCAGUUGGUAAAGAAUCUGCCUGGCAAUGCAGGAGACCCAGGUUCGAUCCCUGGGUGGGGAA
rnacentral:tRNA from 1 species